UCGGAUUUUUAUUAUUAUUUCUCAUUUUCGCGGCUUUUGCUUGCUAUCGGAGAAAUGGUGGCGGGAGCUGCACAAACCCUAAGUUUCAAAAUAGCAAUAAGCGGCAAUGGAUCUUCAAGCAAUGGGAAACCCUAUUUUUCGUUGAACAACUCAUUCACCUCUGCUUUUCCUCUGGUUUUAAACCCUAACUCCCUCCAUUUAUACUGCUCAUAUAGACCUUAUUCCUUUAUCUCCUUCAAACGUAUAUAUAGAGUGGUUGGAAGACCUUCUCAGGCAGGAGAUGGUGACAUACCCCAUUUAUCAAAUUCUAAAUUGGAAACAAUUCUAAGUUGGGGGCGACCAGUUUUGGAGUUUAUUACAAGGAAUUUCCUACCAUUAGCUCUUCUUAGUGGAAUAAGCUUAGGUCUUGCAAAUCCUAGUCUUGGCUGUCUUGCACAUAAGUAUUCUGUGACAAAAUGGAGCACUUUUGGCAUUUUUCUUAUCUCGGGACUGACAUUGCGAACUAGGGAUAUAACUGCAGCCGUAAAAGCAUGGCCUGAAGGAGCCUUUGGGCUAUGUUCAAUUCUGUUUUUCACUCCUUUUUUCUCAAAACUCAUUCUGCAACUUGAGUUGAUACCUCAAGAGUUUAUAAGAGGCUUGGCUAUCUUCUGCUGCAUGCCAACAACAUUGUCAAGUGGAGUGGCUCUGACCCAGCUUGUUGGGGGCAACUCGGCUCUUGCUCUUGCAGUGACAGUGUCGUCCAAUCUUUUAGGCACCUUAACUGUUCCUUUAUUUCUCUCAAGAUUGGUUGCUAAAGGAGUUGGAAUUUCGGUUCCUAUUAAAGAACUGCUGAUGAGCCUUGUUGUUACUCUUUUGGGUCCUUUAAUUUUGGGGCAGGGUUUGCGAUUUGCGUUCCGUAGUGUUGCAGAGUACGUGGAUAAUAAUCGUCGAUUUUUCUCCAUGAUGAAUUCUGUCAUCCUUAGCCUGGUACCCUGGAUUCAAGUAAGCAGAUCAAGGUCGCUGCUGUUGCUGGUUAGACCUGCAGUUUUCCUUAUAGCCAUAGGGCUGGCAACGUUUCUUCAUGUCGCCUUUUUGACCUGGAAUAGCGUUGCAAUACAGUGCCUAAAGGUUGUCUCUGGGGGCAGAGCAUCAGUUUUUGAGAAGAAAGAGAAUGCUCGUGCUGUCACACUUGUUGCCAGUCAGAAAACUCUCCCAGUUAUGGUAGCAGUUGUGGAGCAACUCGGAGGAGCGCUUGGUGAACCAGGAUUGCUGGUUUUGCCUUGUGUUGCUGCACAUAUUAACCAGGUAGCACAACCCUGUGUGUGUGUGUGUGUACUGUGUGUAUGUGCAUCUGCCUGUGGAAAGCCCUUUAAUUAGUGUAUUUCUCUUGUAUGUUUUGAGAAUAUACAACAUUGGCGCAGAUAAUUUUUGACUCCUUUCUGGUAAACUACUGGCUUCAAAAGGAUGAAAACAUCAAGACAGCCUAGGGGAACAUGCUCUACUAAGUCCUUUGUAAUAGGUUUUACGUUAUGUAGGUAGUCUUGGUAAGUCCUUCCCCUCAUUUACUGUCUUAAUAUUCAUGUCCUUUAUGUUAAUGUCAUAUAGCUUCCUGUACAAAUUUACACCCUAAAUGUACAUCGAAGGGUAAUUUUACCAUAUGCUACCAAUGAAUAGUACAUCAGCAAAGCAUAGGGACAUCAACCAUCUGUUCCUGUUGACGAAAAAUGGAGAUCAACCAUAGUUCUUGAUGAUGGAGAGUCUCCCGGCUAUUGGUCAAUGUUCACUGUUCAUUACCUGUGAUACAAUGCAUUGUUGUUGCAUUGUUCACCAUUCAUGAAUUCAUACAAUGUGUAAUGGAAAUGUUAGUGUUUCAUAGGGGGUUCAUGGGCACCUGGUUCGCACGAGGAAAGAAGGAAAAAGAAACAAAAGAGAAAGAAAACAAUAAAGCAAGAUGCUUGCAAAUGAACAAGGACUCUCUCUCUCUCUCGUGUGUGUGUGCACGUGCUUGCAGUGUCACAUCGUAUAAAGAGCACCACCAGUAUUUGUGAUUUGUGUUUUGUGUGGAUAUAGAUACUAAGAAGUAUUCAGGUCUCCAAAUAUGAUGUGUAUCAUAUAUGGGUACAAAAACAGAAUCCGUUUACAAGAAAAACAAGUUUAAGACAGUAUUCUCGAACUUUGUAAUAUACCUAAGC